UCUGGGCGUAGUGGCGUGUGCCUGUAGUCCUAGCUACUCGGGAGGCUGAGGUGUGAGGAUCACUUGAGCCCAGGAGUUCUGGGCUGUAGUGCGCUAUGCCGAUCGGGUGUCUGUAGUAAGUUUGGCAUCAAUAUGGUGACCUCCCGGGAGUGGGGGACCACCAGGUUGCCUAAGGAGGGGUGAACCGGCCCAGGUCAGAAAUGGAGCAGGUCAAAACUCCCGUGCUGAUCAGUUGUGAGAUUGCACCUGUGAAUAGCCACUGUGCUCCAGCCUGGGCAACACAGCGAGACCCCGUCGCU
rnacentral:SRP_RNA from 1 species